UACGGAGGGAGCUAGCGUUGUUCGGAAUUACUGGGCGUAAAGCGCACGUAGGCGGUUAUUCAAGUCAGAGGUGAAAGCCCGGGGCUCAACCCCGGAAUUGCCUUUGAAACUAGAUAACCAGAAUCUUGGAGAGGUCAGUGGAAUUCCGAGUGUAGAGGUGAAAUUCGUAGAUAUUCGGAAGAACACCAGUGGCGAAGGCGACUGACUGGACAAGUAUUGACGCUGAGGUGCGAAAGCGUGGGGAGCAAACAGG
rnacentral:rRNA from 1 species